GCCUUGGAUUAUAUUGAAAUUAGAUAUAAUUACUAUUCUUACUAAAUUUAUAAUAGUUAUAAACCUUGUUUAUACUUACAAAAUAAGAAUCAUUAUAUUACUUGAUAGUGUUAAUCUCACCUGUAAUUGUACCAAGUUUAAGUGUGUUUCUAAGGCAGAUACAUCAUUAGUGUCAUUGCUUGAUUACUUCCCCCAAUAUCUUGUUUUGAUAAUUCCCCAAAGAUGCAUAGGCAGAUGAGAGUGAAUUAGUUUUGUUUUUAGGAGAACAUUGUGUUAAAAAAAAAAAAAACACAAAAACUUCCCGAAUUUCCAACACUGUCACUACUCAGUUAAUGAUUUAUCAAAUACAUCAGAGCAAUUAGAAUAGGAUUUUUAAAAAAUGUUUUGUACUACAGCUCAAGGAAUUUAAAUCACUCUCCUAAGAGAUACACAUUGGGAAAAGUCAUAAGUGGUAUGCACAUGACACUGUGAGGAUAAUGAUCAGUGUAAGCUGAUCACUUCUAAUGGGAAAUAUAUACAGAGCUCUGGAAUUACAUUCCAAAUCACUUGUUUUUCCAGCAUUUAUUGUAUGCAGCAAACACAUAGGAAAUGGUUAGCUAAAACAGGUAGUUUAAAAAUAUUUUAACAUUUUUAUCUAAACGAAUGUCAGAUUUUUUUUUUAAAUGAAAAAUGCUAAGUAUAAUAAAAGUGUGUAUUUAUGCUCUCGGCAGCCAAAUGUGCUUUUUAAUGGAAUUUAAAUAAAUGGAAUUUUUAUGACAAAAAAAGCAACAGUAAAAGCAGUGAUUAUGUUUUUCAUAGUUCAUUUGCCUUCUUUGCCCUGCAGACCUUGUGUGGAGGAAAAUGAGAUCCCGAGUGAAGUCUACAAUGUCAUUGACUCUGAAGAAGGACUCAGAGACCUAUUGGUGUUUAAUGACCCUUACUGGCCUAUGCAAUGGGAACUGGUUGAUGAAGAUUGGCAGGGAGUAUUCCCAGUCCCUCCCCAAGCUCCGCCUUUAAUUUGUCCUACCUUCCCUGUUGAAGAACACCAUGAUAAAAAUCAAACUUCACUUAGUACAACUGUGCACAAGAUGAAGUCAAAGACAAACAGUGGUCAACCCUUCUGGGAAACAGAUUCUUCUAACAGCUGUCUUUACUUUAUGCCCUGCUGUGCAGAACUUGGGGAUUUCCUGAGUUGUGUCUGGAAAACUUAA
rnacentral:lncRNA from 1 species